rnacentral:rRNA from 1 species
CAUGCAAGUCGAACGGAAAGGCCCUUCGGGGUACUCGAGUGGCGAACGGGUGAGUAACACGUGGGUGAUCUGCCCUGCACUCUGGGAUAAGCCUGGGAAACUGGGUCUAAUACCGGAUAGGACCACGCGCUUCAUGGUGUGUGGUGGAAAGCUUUUGCGGUGUGGGAUGGGCCCGCGGCCUAUCAGCUUGUUGGUGGGGUAAUGGCCUACCAAGGCGACGACGGGUAGCCGGCCUGAGAGGGUGACCGGCCACACUGGGACUGAGAUACGGCCCAGACUCCUACGGGAGGCAGCAGUGGGGAAUAUUGCACAAUGGGCGCAAGCCUGAUGCAGCGACGCCGCGUGAGGGAUGACGGCCUUCGGGUUGUAAACCUCUUUCGCCAGGGACGAAGAGAGAUUGACGGUACCUGGAGAAGAAGGACCGGCCAACUACGUGCCAGCAGCCGCGGUAAUACGUAGGGUCCGAGCGUUGUCCGGAAUUACUGGGCGUAAAGAGCUCGUAGGUGGUUUGUCGCGUUGUUCGUGAAAACUCACA